UGCAGGAUGGUUGAGCAUAAACAAUAAACUGUAAAUUUAUAUACGGGCACCGCCCUCUUGCGU
rnacentral:tRNA from 1 species